rnacentral:rRNA from 1 species
CAAGCCGAAUUAAGGUGAAACCGCGAAAGGCUCAUUAAAUCAGUUAGGUUCCUUAGAUCGUACCCACAAUUACUUGGAUAACUGUGGUAAUUCUAGAGCUAAUACAUGCAAACAGAGCUCCGACCGGAGACGGAAGGAGUGCUUUUAUUAGAUCAAAACCAAUCGGUGGCGGGUUCGCUCGUUAUCGUACAACUUGGUGACUCUGAAUAACUUUACGCUGAUCGCACGGUCAUCGCACCGGCGACGCAUCUUUCAAAUGUCUGCCUUAUCAACUGUCGAUGGUAGGUUCUGCGCCUACCAUGGUUGUAACGGGUAACGGGGAAUCAGGGUU